rnacentral:sRNA from 1 species
AGGGCCAUCUAUAACAAGAUCUAUUCCGUGUAAGGCAGACAGUGGCGGCCCCUUGAUGUGUGGACCGAACAAAGACGAGCUUGUUGGAGUACUUAGUCGAGGGCCUAAAGAUUGCGUUGGCAACGCCCCUGCUUUGUAUGUGAAUAUCUCUGCAUACCGAGACUGGCUUGCAGAUAAAUUGUAAACAUUUUGUUUUUCAGUCUAAAAAAUAAAAACUUUAUUUCUUUCA